UUGCUUCCUUCAGCAGCACAUAUACUAAACUUGGAAUGAUACAGAGAAGAUUAGCAUGGCCCUUGUGCAAGGAUGAUACCCAAAUUCAUGUGGCAUUCAAUAUUUUU
ensembl:snRNA U6 U6 spliceosomal RNA